rnacentral:rRNA from 1 species
AGAGUUCGAUUAUGGCUCAGGACGAACGCUGGCGGCGCGCCUAACACAUGCAAGUCGAACGGAGUGUUGAGGAGCUUGCUUUUUAACACUUAGUGGCGAACGGGUGAGUAACGCGUGAGUAACCUGCCCUCGAGUGGGGGACAACAGUUGGAAACGACUGCUAAUACCGCAUAAGACCACAGAGCCGCAUGGCUCAGGGGUAAAAGGAUUUAUUCGCUUGAGGAUGGACUCGCGUCCAAUUAGCUAGUUGGUGAGGUAACGGCCCACCAAGGCGACGAUUGGUAGCCGGACUGAGAGGUUGAUCGGCCACAUUGGGACUGAGACACGGCCCAG